GAUGAACGCUGGCGGCGUGCCUAAUACAUGCAAGUCGAGCGAACAGACGAGGAGCUUGCUCCUCUGACGUUAGCGGCGGACGGGUGAGUAACACGUGGAUAACCUACCUAUAAGACUGGGAUAACUUCGGGAAACCGGAGCUAAUACCGGAUAAUAUAUUGAACCGCAUGGUUCAAUAGUGAAAGACGGUUUUGCUGUCACUUAUAGAUGGAUCCGCGCCGCAUUAGCUAGUUGGUAAGGUAACGGCUUACCAAGGCAACGAUGCGUAGCCGACCUGAGAGGGUGAUCGGCCACACUGGACCUGAGACACGGUCCAGACUCCUACGGGAGGCAGCAGUAGGGAAUCUUCCGCAAUGGGCGAAAGCCUGACGGAGCAACGCGGCGUGAGUGAUGAAGGUCUUCGGAUCGUAAAACUCUGUUAUUAGGGAAGAACAAAUGUGUAAGUAACUAUGCACGUCUUGACGGUACCUAAUCAGAAAGCCCCGGCUAACUACGU
rnacentral:rRNA from 1 species